GAUGAACGCUGGCGGCGUGCCUAAUACAUGCAAGUCGAGCGAACGGACGAGAAGCUUGCUUCUCUGAUGUUAGCGGCGGACGGGUGAGUAACACGUGGAUAACCUACCUAUAAGACUGGGAUAACUUCGGGAAACCGUAGCUAAUACCGGAUAAUAUUUUGAACCGCAUGGUUCAAAAGUGAAAGACGGUCUUGCUGUCACUUAUAGAUGGAUCCGCGCUGCAUUAGCUAGUUGGUAAGGUAACGGCUUACCAAGGCAACGAUGCAUAGCCGACCUGAGAGGGGGAUCGGCCACACUGGAACUGAGACACGGACCAGACUCCUAAGGGAGGCAGCAGUAGGGAAUGUUACGCAAUGGGCGAAAGCCUGACGGAGCAACGCCGCGUGAGUGAUGAAGGUCUUCGGAUCGUAAAACUCUGUUAUUAGGGAAGAACAUAUGUGUAAGUAACUGUGCACAUCUUGACGGUACCUAAUCAGAAAGCCACGGCUAACUACGUG
rnacentral:rRNA from 1 species